UAGAGUAAGUAGCCCCUGAGCUUAUAGCAUCAUUACCUCUCUCUCUCUCUCUCUCAGAAUAAGAUCUCAACAAGAAACAAAAUACUAUAAUGAAAGUAACACGUCAGGUUGUAUACUUGGUCACUUUGAUUCUUCUCUUACUCGCUGCAACGUACACCACAACCACUAUGGCCCGAACCUUGUCUAGGGAAGCAGAUGGAACACACGUUUUAGGAAAUUUCAAAAGAAUUGGUGUCGCAGGAAGUAUAUCGGGGCCGGGUAAACAGAAUGGGCCUUAGACGCGGCUACAACAAUGUGCCAUCAAAAAAUAUCUAGCCAAUUCACCCCCCCACACCCCGGUCUCUACAUAGCUCAUACAUAAACGUUAAAAAGUCUCUUUUUUUUUGGCUCUCUCUCUGUGAACAAGUAAAGAAUUGGGCAUGUAUUAGCGAUUUGGGCCCGCCCUGUGUAUAUAGCAGCCCAAAGAACAUUAAUAACGAUGUAAAGGAACAAGUCCCACAUCGGUGAGAAGAUGAGGAAGUGAUUAUUAUAUAUAUGUUCAUAUGUAGUUUUCAUACAACAAGAGUCCUUAGCUCAGUGGUAGAGCGGUUGACUGCAGAUCAAUUGGUCA